UACGGGGGGAGCAAGCGUUGUUCGGAUUUACUGGGCGUAAAGGGCGCGUAGGCGGCCAGUGCAAGUCAGUUGUGAAAUCUCCGAGCUUAACUCGGAAAGGUCAACUGAUACUGCUCGGCUAGAGUGCGGAAGGGGCAACUGGAAUUCUUGGUGUAGCGGUGAAAUGCGUAGAUAUCAAGAGGAACACCUGCGGCGAAGGCGGGUUGCUGGGCCGAUACUGACGCUGAGGAGCGAAAGCGUGGGGAGCGAACAGG
rnacentral:rRNA from 1 species